rnacentral:lncRNA from 1 species
CCCCCUUCUUCUUCUCCUGCAUACCAGCACCGCCCCUCCUUCGUGUCCAUUGUUUACCACCAUUUCUACCGCCACUCUCCACUAGAUGUUGGUUAAAACUUUUUCCUCAUCUCCUCAACUCACUGACAACCUGUUUCCUCCAUUUCUCGCCAAAAAUCAUAAAGCCAAGGUGGAAAGGAAGAUGUUGCUCAUUGCCAUCGCAUAAACAGCCGCUUAUCGGCGUUAUCUCCUCUAAACAACAUUGAAAACGAGUCCCUUGCC